CCCCUUCCGCUCAUCCCUGAACGGAUCCGAGACGUGCGGGCAGCGGAGGCGAAGGGCGACGGCGUCGGCGACCUGCAGGCGAAGGGCGACGGCGGCGGCGCUUGAUUUGAGGCUGCGUCAUGGAUCGGCCCCUGCUGAGCGACAAGAUUGCUGGACUGCCGCCAUCUCACCUCGCCCCACCAGCUUCCACCGCCAUGGAUCCGCCGGAGAUGGAGGGCAACGAGUGAGAGGGAGCAGGAGAAGAUGUGAAUCGAGGGAGUGAAAGAAGAAGUUCACACGGGAAGGGGAAGAGGGAGUCUUGCGGCGUAUCCUCGUCUCAUCCUGGCUGCAGAUCUUUUGACGCCAUGGAGCCAGCCGCUCUUGCUCGAUGCCACGAUACACAACACCAAGAUUCCUUCCUUUUACAGUUCCUUCUCGACUUGCUGUUCAUCACGUCGAUGGCUUCCAUGGAGCAGAGGAAAGUAUGCCCUCUUCAUCUAGGCAGAGGAGCGGGACGGCCAGGAGCUGUCGUCCUGCUACCCUAUGCCAAUGGAUGCGCCUCCCAGAUGGCUAGCAACGCCAGAUCCAGCUGGAAAGGACUCUACGGGGGGUGAGAGGUGGAUAACAAUAGCGAGAAGGAGCAUGCCAUCGAGGAGUGCAAGCAGCGGCACUCCUCCGCAAUGGGGUAUGGCUGCAGGGGAGGGGACACGGCCAACGACAGGAAGAAGGAGCAAGUCGUCGAGGAGUACAAGCAGCAGGUUUCCUGUGACUGGAAGUCUGAAACUGAAGAUAGGGCAUAUUGUUUUGGUUCUGUGGCCGGAGAUAUUGUGGCUUGAUUUCCCUAGAGCAAUCGGACCCUUCCAAGAUAGCAGAAGAUAUUUGGGAUUGACGUUCUAAUGAGAAAGUAGCAUACGGAUGGAUGGACAAUUGGACAUGAGCUAUCCAGUGGUCGAGUUGGGCUAUAUUUCUUUCAUUGAGGCGAGGGUGAUUCCAGUAGGUGAGGUGCAUUUUAGACAUCUGGAUGCCUUGCUAUGUUCAGGCGUACUCGCCUUUUUUCUUGAAGUUGGGCGUCCGUUGUCUAUGCGGCAAGGUGAGCUUAUCCCAUUUACUUUGUUCAAUCCAGAGUCAAGAUUCAUAUCCCCUUCACUGUCAUUUCAUUUGUGAGCAUUUAUUCCAUUGCUCUAUGUUGUCGGCAUCCUGACAGUUUAGAUGUUUCUGCGGAUCACAAUUGCUUCUGAACACACCGACCCAUCUCAUUGAGGAAAUUCCCCUGCUCUGCUUAAUUAAAAUUAAUGUGAAAUAUGUUUCUACCAAAACUAAUUACAAUUUAUUCUUUUUAGUUUCUACUGAUUUUCAGUAUGAAAUAUUGGGGCCCGAGUACUUCAGUUCAUUUCACAGUGGAUAUGGCACACACAUGUAUCAUUGCUGUUAUCGUAAUUGAUACCAACACCUUGACUGAAUCGCAUAGAAUAGACUGCCCUGAUAAUUCUUGCAGUCCUAAAAUGGUUUCUCAAAACAUGGGAAAAUUUACAUUCUAAAAACUGUAGGCACACUGGGUGAAGCAUAUAUAUAAUUCUAUUAUAACAGAGGUCACACACACACACAAUAUAUAAUUCUCUAUAUGCAAAUUGUUAUAAUAUGAUUUUAUUAGAAUAGAGGUCAGGUACUACUGCCACGACGUAAGAAGGAAGGUGUGACACCCAGUUUUAUAUAUAUUGUGAUUUCAGUUUUCAUCAAUGUCGCUAUUAUUAUUAUUAUUAUUAUCUCUUUGUAGCUUCAUAUAAAAUCAGUACUGACAUGGUCAUUUUACAGAGUGUAAAAAUGGUAGGUGGUAGAAUCAUAACCUGGGACUGAGUGCCUUAAGAAGUUCCUUUCAUUAUCGUUAAAUAAUAUAAUGUUUAGGGCCAGUUUAGAUGCGUCGUCGGAAAAUAUGAGUAAAAUCAGUGAAUAUUGUGCAUUGCCUUGGUGUUUGGUGUGUCUAUUGCAUAAUCCUUUUCUUUUUUUGCUUCUCUUUCCAAAGCAAGGACCAGGCUGGGAACAUAUGUUUAUAAUGAAGUUCUUUCAUUGCAGCUACAUAGUAUCUUAGCUAGGUAUCUCUGUGCAAGUGUAGUUUGCCUGCAGGUUGGACAUGUGUUUGAAUAUAAUCCUUUUCUUGCUUCUCUUUUCAAAGCAAGGACCAGUCUGAGAACAUAUGUUUAUAAUGAAGUUCUUUCAUUGUAGUCUGCAUAGUAUCUUAGCUAGGUCUCUCCAGCAUGCUACCACAAAAGCGGAGCCAUGAUGUUAUGCAUAUAUCUGCAUCGUCUAUCAGUCCUAGAAGUUCUGAUCUUCGUCUACCGUUAAACCGAGUUCAUCUGUCUGGGUAUGGCUGCACAACUUUUUAUGUAAUUGGACAUUAAAAAUUAGAGAAUUUGGUUGUACUGCAUCUGCCAAAGCACUAUUGAAACAAUGAAUGUCAGCUAUGUUAUGAGCCGAACCAUAUUAAGUAUGUGCAUCCUGGGUGGAAUGCUUUCUGUU